rnacentral:rRNA from 1 species
UGGUGGGUAGUUUGACUGGGGCGGUCUCCUCCUAAAGAGUAACGGAGGAGCACGAAGGUUGGCUAAUCCUGGUCGGACAUCAGGAGGUUAGUGCAAUGGCAUAAGCCAGCUUGACUGCGAGCGUGACGGCGCGAGCAGGUGCGAAAGCAGGUCAUAGUGAUCCGGUGGUUCUGAAUGGAAGGGCCAUCGCUCAACGGAUAAAAGGUACUCCGGGGAUAACAGGCUGAUACCGCCCAAGAGUUCAUAUCGACGGCGGUGUUUGGCACCUCGAUGUCGGCUCAUCACAUCCUGGGGCUGAAGUAGGUCCCAAGGGUAUGGCUGUUCGCCAUUUAAAGUGGUACGCGAGCUGGGUUUAGAACGUCGUGAGACAGUUCGGUCCCUAUCUGCCGUGGGCGCUGGAGAAUUGAGGGGGGCUGCUCCUAGUACGAGAGGACCGGAGUGGACGCAUCACUGGUGUUCGGGUUGUCAUGCCAAUGGCACUGCCCGGUAGCUAAAUGCGGAAGAGAUAAGUGCUGAAAGCAUCUAAGCACGAAACUUGCCCCGAGAUGAGUUCUCCCUGAGACUUA